UCCCAAUGCUUCUAGUCAGGACACUUUCUACAUUCUCUUCAUGGAAGACGUCUGUUAAAUCAUUGGGAGAGGAAAAUUCCGAGCUUGCUGUUCCCAUGUCUUUGGACUGGGAACUGACUGAGUCCCGUUUUGGGGCACUUUCAUUAGCACGGGUCUGUUUCAUAUUGAGUUGAAAUCUAUCUCUGCCCUUCUUGGGCGGCUAGGUGGUAGAUUUCUUAGUAAUGAUUCAUACAUCU
rnacentral:snoRNA from 1 species